rnacentral:rRNA from 1 species
UGUAUGGUUAGUGGCAGACGGGUGAGUAAUGUAUAGGAAUCUACCUAGUAGUAUGGGAUAGCCACUAGAAAUGGUGGGUAAUACUGUAUAAUCCCUGCGGGGGAAAGAUUUAUCGCUAUUAGAUGAGCCUAUGUCAGAUUAGCUAGUUGGUGGGGUAAUGGCCUACCAAGGCGGUGAUCUGUAGCUGGUCUGAGAGGAUGAUCAGCCACACUGGAACUGAGACACGGUCCAGACUCCUACGGGAGGCAGCAGUGGGGAAUAUUGGACAAUGGGCGCAAGCCUGAUCCAGCUAUGCCGCGUGAGUGAGGAAGGCCUUAGGGUUGUAAAACUCUUUCAGUAGGGAAGAUAAUGACGGUACCUACAGAAAAAGUCCCGCCCAAACUCGA